UUGAUGUUGAUGAGGGACUCCGAACCCUUCCGGGGACGUCGGCUGCUAACAAAAUGGGCCACAAACUGAUGGCUCAUCUGAUCAAAAGAAAAGAUGGUACCCGACUUCAGCGUCGAGUACCAGUUUCUCAUCGCUCCCUUCAAGGUGGAUGGGAAAGCUCGGCAUAGGAUGGCGUUCGGCGUGCCAUGAAGCAGCUCAUUGUCCG
rnacentral:lncRNA from 1 species